ACAUCAACCUGCAGCAGUAUAGACCGCAUAGAUCACGCAGCAGUAAGCAUACCACGAAAAAUAGACAACAUAAAACAAAAUAUUAACCAGAUGAGGGAACAUCAUUGCCGGGGCAAGAGUUGGCCAGUAUGAACACUGAAUGCUGACCACUUGCUUAGCUUCAGCUAAGCCGAGCUAAAGAAACAUGAGAAACCUCGGCCCUCAUGUCCGGACGACUGGCAGUCACAGCUACACCUGAACGGUACCGUUGAUAUGAAGCAGACCGCGUCGGUGUGAGGAAUAGCCCCAGUUUGCGAGACAGGCGAGAGCGCUGGGUGCUUACUGGUGUGGAAACAUCAUAAACAACACCAUAAUCACCAUGAUGAUGCACCGCUCGGCACCACAUAG